UGGAACUGAAUUUCCGAUGUCCACAAAUUAGGAUCCGAAAAAUUCUGAUUUCGAAACGAAUUUUUCAUGUCCGAUUUUCGAAAUUUCGAUUUCUGAAUUUUCCGAAAUGCAUCUGACCGAAAUCGGAAAUUUAUAUAAAAUCUUAAAAAUGGUCCCAAUUCCAAACCAAAAUAAUUCCGAAAUUUCCGAAUAUUAUUAAUGUUUAUUAAUUAUUAUGUACUAAUAAACCCAGAGAAACCCUUAUUUCCGUUUUCUUCUUCUCUGGGCCAUAAAAUUGCCUGAAGCUACAGAUAUAAACCCACACUUCACGGCCGGCUGCACAACCGCCGUCUCCGCCGCCCGUCGGAAUAUUCAGGUAUGAUCGGUUAUCACCAUUUCAUUGGACUGCACUCGUUGAUUUCGAUUCAAAUAAUCAUAUGGUAAAAAAAUCCAUAAUUAUUUCGAUAACAGUUUAAAUUGAAUACAUUUUUAUCUGUUUUAAAGUUAACUUGUCCGAAAUGGUAUUUUUUUCUUUUCUUAAUUUCAAUCAGACAUAAACCCUAAAUCAAUCUGGCAUUUGAAGAAGCAGAGUUCAUACCUUGUGGAUGAAUUGAUAAUAAAAAAAUCCGGCAGUUUCGAUAAUUCCGAAAUCAAGUUUAACACAUUCAGAAACUAAUGGAGAAUGAUUCUGCUUCAAAUCCAAGAUCUGGUGGUGGCGGAUCAACUUCCUCCGUCCAGGGCGGCGGCAUGAC
rnacentral:lncRNA from 1 species